rnacentral:rRNA from 1 species
GUACACACCGCCCGUCGCUACUACCGAUUGAAUGGCUCAGUGAGGCGUCCGGACUGGCCCAGGGAGGUGGGCAACUACCACCCAGGGCCGGAAAGCUCUCCAAACUCGGUCAUUUAGAGGAAGUAAAAGUCGUAACAAGGUCUCCGUUGGUGAACCAGCGGAGGGAUCAUUA